rnacentral:rRNA from 1 species
GAUGAACGCUGGCGGCGUGUCUAAUACAUGCAAGUCGAGCGAACGGACGAGAAGCUUGCUUCUCUGAUGUUAGCGGCGGACGGGUGAGUAACACGUGGAUAACCUACCUAUAAGACUGGGAUAACUUCGGGAAACCGGAGCUAAUACCGGAUAAUAUUUUGAACCGCAUGGUUCAAAAGUGAAAGACGUUCUUGCUGUCACUUAUAGAUGGAUCCGCGCUGCAUUAGCUAGUUGGUAAGGUAACGGCUUACCAAGGCAACGAUGCAUAGCCGACCUGAGAGGGUGUUCGGCCACACUGGAACUGAGACACGGUCCAGACUCCUACGGGAGGCAGCAGUAGGGAAUCUUCCGCAAUGGGCGAAAGCCUGACGGAGCAACGCCGCGUGAGUGAUGAAGGUCUUCGGAUCGUAAAACUCUGUUAUUAGGGAAGAACAUAUGUGUAAGUAACUGUGCACAUCUUGACGGUACCUAAUCAGAAAGCCACGGCUAACUACGUG